rnacentral:rRNA from 1 species
AGCUCCAAUAGCGUAUAUUAAAGUUGUUGCAGUUAAAAAGCUCGUAGUUUAAAGGGGGUAUAGGAGAUGUAAUAGACUUUUCACUACAAAAAGCAUCCUAGUACUCUUAGUCCUAAAGGGAUUGCACUUGUUGUCUGAGUAACCUGCUGUUGCCAUCCUUGGGUGGAACCUGUGUGGCAUUAGGUUGUCGUGCAGGGGAUGUCCAUCAUUUACUGUGAAAAAAUUAGAGUGUUCAAAGCAGGCUUAUGCCGUUGAAUAUAUUAGCAUGGAAUAAUGAGAUAGGACUUUUUUGCUAUUUUGUUGGUUUGCGCAAAGAGGUAAUCAUUAAUAGGGACAGUUGGGGGUAUUCGUAUUCCAUUGUCAGAGGUGAAAUUCUUGGAUUUUUGGAAGACGAACUACU